rnacentral:rRNA from 1 species
GACGAACGCUGGCGGCGUGCUUAACACAUGCAAGUCGAACGAAGUGGCGAACGGGUGAGUAACGUGUAAUUAACCUGCCCUUCAGAGGGGGACAACAGUUGGAAACGACUGCUAAUACCGCAUACUGAAUGAGGGGAUUGCGUCUGAUUAGCUAGUUGGAUGGGUAACGGCCCACCAAGGCGAUGAUCAGUAGCCGGUCUUGGAGGAUGAACGGCCACAUUGGGACUGAUACACGGCCCAGACUCCUACGGGAGGCAGCAGUGGGCAAUCUUCCGCAAUGGACGAAAGGCUGGCGGAGCAACGGCGCGUGAUUGAUGACGGCCUUCGGGUUGUAAAGCUCUGUUAAUCGGGACGCGGUACCGGAAUAGAAAGCCACGGCUAACUACGUGCCAGCAGCCGCGGUAAUUC